AGAGUUUGAUCCUGGCUCAGGACGAACGCUGGCGGCGUGCUUAACACAUGCAAGUCAAGGGGGGCCGCAAGGUCAACCGGCGAACGGGUGCGUAACACGUGAGCAACCUGCCUAAGUGUGGGGGAUAGCCGGCCCAACGGCCGGGUAAUACCGCAUACGAUCACUAGUCGGCAUCGACAUGUGAUGAAACUUUCGAGGCACUUAGAGGGGCUCGCGGCCUAUCAGCUUGUUGGUGGGGUAAUGGCCUACCAAGGCAUCGACGGGUAGCUGGUCUGAGAGGAUGGCCAGCCACAUUGGGACUGAGAUACGGCCCAAACUCCUACGGGAGGCAGCAGUGGGGAAUAUUGCGCAAUGGGCGAAAGCCUGACGCAGCGACGCCGCGUGGGGGAUGAAGCAUUUCGGUGUGUAAACCCCUGUUGCUCGGGACGAACAACUGGUUUUGACCAGUCUGACGGUACCGGGUGAGGAAGCACCGGCUAACUCCGUGCCAGCAGCCGCGGUAAUACGGAGGGUGCGAGCGUUGUCCGGAAUCACUGGGCGUAAAGGGCGCGUAGGCGGCCUUGUAAGUCUGAAGUGGAAGUCCUUUUUUCAAGGAAGGAAUUGCUUUGGAAACUAUAAGGCUUGAGUGCAGGAGAGGUUAUCGGAAUUCCCGGUGUAGCGGUGAAAUGCGUAGAGAUCGGGAGGAACAUCAGUGGCGAAGGCGGCCAUCUGGGACAACACUGACGCUGAAGCACGAAAGCGUGGGGAGCAAACAGGAUUAGAUACCCUGGUAGUCCACGCCCUAAACGAUGCGAACUGGAUGUUGGUCUCAACUCGGAGAUCAGUGUCGAAGCUAACGCGUUAAGUUCGCCGCCUGGGGAGUACGGUCGCAAGACUGAAACUCAAAGGAAUUGACGGGGGCCCGCACAAGCGGUGGAGUAUGUGGUUUAAUUCGAUGCAACGCGAAGAACCUUACCUGGCCUUGACAUGUCCGGAAUCCUGCAGAGAUGCGGGAGUGCCUUCGGGAAUCGGAACACAGGUGCUGCAUGGCUGUCGUCAGCUCGUGUCGUGAGAUGUUGGGUUAAGUCCCGCAACGAGCGCAACCCUUGCCAUUAGUUGCUACAUUUAGUUGGGCACUCUAAUGGGACUGCCGGUGACAAACCGGAGGAAGGUGGGGAUGACGUCAAGUCCUCAUGGCCCUUAUAGGUGGGGCUACACACGUCAUACAAUGGCUGGUACAAAGGGUUGCCAACCCGCGAGGGGGAGCUAAUCCCAUAAAGCCAGUCGUAGUCCGGAUCGUAGUCUGCAACUCGACUACGUGAAGUCGGAAUCGCUAGUAAUCGUGGAUCAGAAUGUCACGGUGAAUACGUUCCCGGGUCUUGUACACACCGCCCGUCACACCAUGGGAGCGGGUUCUGCCAGAAGUAGUUAGCCUAACCGCAAGGAGGGCGAUUACCACGGCAGGGUUCGUGACUGGGGUGAAGUCGUAACAAGGUAACC
rnacentral:rRNA from 1 species